CCUACGGGAGGCAGCAGUGGGGAAUAUUGGACAAUGGGGGGAACCCUGAUCCAGCCAUGCCGCGUGUGUGAAGAAGGCCCUCGGGUUGUAAAGCACUUUCAGUGAGGAAGAACGCCUGGUGGUUAAUACCCAUCAGGAAAGACAUCACUCACAGAAGAAGCACCGGCUAACUCCGCGCCAGCAGCCGCGGUAAUACGGAGGGUGCGAGCGUUAAUCGGAAUUACUGGGCGUAAAGCGCGCGUAGGUGGCUUGAUAAGCCGGUUGUGAAAGCCCCGGGCUCAACCUGGGAACGGCAUCCGGAACUGUCAAGCUAGAGUGCAGGAGAGGAAGGUAGAAUUCCCGGUGUAGCGGUGAAAUGCGUAGAGAUCGGGAGGAAUACCAGUGGCGAAGGCGGCCUUCUGGACUGACACUGACACUGAGGUGCGAAAGCGUGGGUAGCAAACAGGAUUAGAUACCCGAGUAGUC
rnacentral:rRNA from 1 species